AUGUAGCAAUACAUGGCGUACUGCUCAGUAACACGUGGACAACCUGCCCUUAGGACGGGUAUAAACCCGGGAAACUGGGUAUAAUUCCCGAUAGGUCUCGUCUGCUGGAAUGCAUCGAGAUCCAAAGCUCCGGCGCCUAAGGAUGGGCCUGCGGCCUAUCAGGUAGUAGUGGGUGUAGCGUACCUACUAGCCUACGACGGGUACGGGUUGUGAGAGCAAGAGCCCGGAGAUGGAUUCUGAGACACUAAUCCAGGCCCUACGGGGUGCAGCAGGCGCGAAAACUUUACAAUGCUGGGAACAGCGAUAAGGGAACCUCGAGUGCCAGGUUACAAAUCUGGCUGUCGUGAUGCCUAAAAAGCAUUAUAUAGCAAGGGCCGGGCAAGACCGGUGCCAGCCGCCGCGGUAACACCGGCGGCUCGAGUGGUAACCGUUAUUAUUGGGUCUAAAGGGUCUGUAGCCGGCCGGAUAAGUCUCUUGGGAAAUCUGGCAGCUUAACUGUCAGGCUUUCAGGGGAUACUGUCUGGCUCGAGGCCGGGAGAGGUGAGAGGUACUUCAGGGGUAGGGGUGAAAUCUUGUAAUCCUUGAAGGACCACCAGUGGCGA
rnacentral:rRNA from 1 species